rnacentral:sRNA from 1 species
UUAUUUCCUCAUUCUAACUUAGAGGCAAGGUAUAGGCCAGUUCUUUGGACUUACCUGUUAGGUGAAGAAUAGUUAUUUUUUCAUUUUGAAUUAUAGCAUCUCUGAAUUUACAUAUCCAAUAAAAAUGACUUGAUUUUUUAAUGUCAAUUUUCUUCGGUAGCAAAUGCCUAUUAUUAUUGCUGGAAAUGAUCAACAAAAGAAGAAGUAUUUGGGGAGAAUGACUGAGGAGCCAUUGAUGUGUGCUUAUUGUGUAACAGAACCUGGAGCAGGCUCUGAUGUAGCUGGUAUAAAGACCAAAGCAGAAAAGAAAGGAGAUGAGUAUAUUAUUAAUGGUCAGAAGAUGUGGAUAACCAACGGAGGAAAAGCUAAUUGGUAUUUUUUAUUGGCACGUUCUGAUCCAGAUCCUAAAGCUCCUGCUAAUAAAGCCUUUACUGGAUUCAUUGUGGAAGCAGAUACCCCAGGAAUUCAGAUUGGGAGAAAGGAAUUAAACAUGGGCCAGCGAUGUUCAGAUACUAGAGGAAUUGUCUUCGAAGAUGUGAAAGUGCCUAGAGAAAAUGUUUUAAUUGGUGACGGAGCUGGUU